ACCUGCUUCUUCCUGCAGCUUCUCAGAGUCCUGUGGACAAUGACUGAGGAGACAAUCCAUGCAGG
rnacentral:snoRNA from 1 species